CUACAUAUUAAUACCAUGUCAUAUUGUUUCGUUAUUUAGUCCACCCAUACAUUUAAUGUUACCGACGAAAUGUGUUUGUUUACAUCUCUAGAUCUAGCAGACGGUUCAUGACAAGGACUAGGCAUUCUAAAGAAUGUUGAAGCCAAGUAGGAAAUGGAGAAGCGUGCUUUGCUUAAAAACUCUCCGUUAUUCUCUAGAAUGCCUGCAUUUCUCACUUUGGCAUGUAACAUAGUAUGUGCUCGCAAUUAGAAACUGUAACACAAGGAAAGGAUCUUUUGGAAUUCGUUUCCCACUACCAAGAACAAUUUAUGAACACUUUCAAUCUUCAUUUUUAAAAUGUCGAAACAACCUCUGCUAGUGAGAUUGCUCUAUUUCAUUGGCUCCUUUGGGUAUCUCCUGACAGUUCGGCUGACUGUAGAGCUGCUGAAAAGUGGCGCCUUUCUGGCCAUCAUUCUUGGUUCCUGUCUGACUCUAGGGCUUGUGUUCUUCGCCCUAGUAGCCUGUUUGUAUGUUUAUUCUGACUACAGCCUCCUGAUCACAGCCGUUGGCUCGCUGCUGGCCCUACCUUUGCUGGUGCUGGUCUUAAAUCUGGUUCACUAUGUGGUCAAGGAUGUUCUUGGUCUCACAGACAUGUGUCUUGGAGAAGUCAUGAGACUUCUGCUUCUACGUCCGAUGAAAUACAAGUCAAUGAAAGAAAAGGAACUCAUUGAGACAAGGAAAUAGAGCGUCUUUUGAUAUAUUUUUUUUUAAAUUUAGGGCCUUGCAGGGUCAUUAAGUCUUGGACUUUGUGUUUAAAAAAACAACAUAGUGCAGAUCAGAUAUAGGCCUAUUGUUGUUGGAGCAGCAUAUUUUGAUAACAAAUUGUAACAUUUUAUAAUACUACUUUAUAAAACAAAAAAAUAAGAUUGUAUUAAACCUUUUAGCUUUGGGCAGGGGGAAGCCAGACGAGGGCUGCUAUCCAAGAUCCAGCGUUUCAGGGUUGUAAUGAUUACAUAGCUUAACAUUCCAUUUAGAUCAGCUGAACAUGGGUGCAUGAAGCUUCUUGUCCUUAAUUAAUACAAGAAAUUAAAAAAUGGAUAAGGAAAGUGGAUGGCUUUUUUUUUUCGGAAUCAUCCAGAAUUUUAGGCAGCAGUGUACAUGUAUUGACCAUUGUUAAAUUGUUUGUUAUUGUUUAAUGCAUAUGUUGAAUUGUUGCCAGUUAAUAUCAUUAGUUUGUUCGUUAAAUUCAAACAUAAUACUAAUAGCGCUAUGGAAUAGCACAGUUCCUCUAAGCUUUACAGUCAUUAGUUUAAUUCUACAGAUAUUACAGACGCGGGAAAGAUCAAAACUAUGUCGCAAGUCCGUCAUUGCGCGUAGUUAGUUGUUUCUUUUCACUACAAACUUCCUAGCCCACCUGUUGAAUAGACCGAUAUUUGACUAUGUAGCUGCAUCUAAAUGUCAAGUGGAUGUGCAUAGCAUUUAUUUAUCUUUCAAAUUCCUCUCUGUGUAUGUCUCAGAAAUAAAUGUGUCAAGCUUGGUGUUUGUGGCAUCACAUUGUUUUAGUGACUCAAUUCUUGACGCAUUAUCACUCAGAUGUUUUGAGGAAUUCAUAUUUACUGAAGUGCUUAUAAGCACUAAUGAUGUUGAGUACAAUAGAAUACGUGUUUACUGAAGUGCCUAUAAGCACUAAUGAUUUUGAGUACAAUUGACUAAGUGUCUACUGAAGUGCCUAGAACUUACUUUUUAUCUAUUUAUUUUUGCUAUGUAAGUUGUUGAUUUUUUGUAAUUCAGUGAUUGUCAAAUCUGAACAUUUCACAUUUCUUCUGUUUGAUGUCAAUCUGUCUGUCUUUAUUUUCACAUAGACUGCCAAAUCAAUGCAAAGGUCGAUAAAUUGUGCUGCGUGUCUAGUGCCCAUUUAACACAAACCUUUUUUUAUUACACUUGAACCAGGAGCUUCACUGACAAUGUAGCCUGUAGGCCUAGAUAUUUAUAUAAUCAUUGAUUGGUAAUUUAAAUCGUUGUGUUCCCCUUCUUAGUCCCCUCUUUCCACUGGUGUAGCAUGGCCUUGUAGGAAAGGAUCAACAAGUCUCGGUGGCACAUCCAGGCAAUAGAACAGCCAAACAAAAAGAGAGGAGGGAGGCACUGAUUUCGAUAUGGAAGAUAGCUUAACAUGUAAAUAGGUCUGUUGAUGAAUGUUGAUAUUAAAACAGAAUCUUUUGGUCUUUGUAACAAGAUGCUAACAUUGUUUCAUCGUAAGCCUAUUGUAUAAAGCAUAUACAUUAUGAUUAAUUAUCAUUUUAUGUCUAGUUUGUUGAAGAUUGGACCCCUAGUCCUAAAUGUAUGCCAUUGCUUGUUUGUUAUUUUACAGUUGUUAUAAAUAGAUCUGUAUUGUAAAAUAAUGAUAAUAAUUCGCUUUCAUAACCCCAAGAAUGUCUUCUACAAUUUCGUCUUUUACAAAAGAAUUUCAUAAUCCUGAGUAUACCAGAUGACAUUUCAAUAUAUGUAUUUAGAGAGAACAACUAGUUUACUUGCAUGUUCAUGUCAAUAUAUGUAUUUAGAGAACAACUAGUUUACUUGCAUGUUCAUGUCAAUAUAUGUAUUUAGAGAGAACAACUAGUUUACUUCCAUGUUCAUGUCAAUAUAUGUAUUUAGAGAGAACAACUAGUUUACUUCCAUGUUCAUGUCAAUGUAUGUAUUUAAAGAACAACUAGUUUACUUCCAUGUUCAUGUCAAUAUAUGUAUUUAGAGAGAACAACUAGUUUACUUCCAUGUUCAUGUCAAUAUAUGUAUUUAGAGAACAACUAGUUUACUUCCAUGUUCAUGUCAAUAUAUGUAUUUAGAGAGAACAACUAGUUUACUUCCAUGUUCAUGUCAAUGUAUGUAUUUAAAGAACAACUAGUUUACUUCCAUGUUCAUGUCAAUAUAUGUAUUUAGAGAGAACAACUAGUUUACUUCCAUGUUCAUGUCAAUAUAUGUAUUUAGAGAACAACUAGUUUACUUCCAUGUUCAUGUCAAUAUAUGUAUUUAGAGAGAACAACUAGUUUACUUCCAUGUUCAUGUCAAUAUAUGUAUUUAGAGAGAACAACUAGUUUACUUCCAUGUUCAUGUCAAUAUAUGUAUUUAGAGAACAACUAGUUUACUUCCAUGUUCAUGUCAAUAUAUGUAUUUAGAGAACAACUAGUUUACUUCCAUGUUCAUGUCAAUAUAUGUAUUUAGAGAGAACAACUAGUUUACUUCCAUGUUAAUGUCAAUAUAUGUAUUUAGAGAACAACUAGUUUACUUCCAUGUUUAUGUCAAUAUAUGUAUUUAGAGAGAACAACUAGUUUACUUCCAUGUUCAUGUCAAUAUAUGUAUUUAGAGAACAACUAGUUUACUUCCAUGUUCAUGUCAAUAUAUGUAUUUAGAGAGAAUAACUAGUUUACUUCCAUGUUCAUGUCAAUAUAUGUAUUUAGAGAGAACAACUAGUUUACUUCCAUGUUCAUGUCAAUAUAUGUAUUUAGAGAGAACAACUAGUUUACUUCCAUGUUCAUGUCAAUAUAUGUAUUUAAAGAACAACUAGUUUACUUCCAUGUUCAUGUCAAUAUAUGUAUUUAGAGAGAACAACUAGUUUACUUCCAUGUUCAUGUCAAUAUAUGUAUUUAGAGAGAACAACUAGUUUACUUCCAUGUUCAUGUCAAUAUAUGUAUUUAGAGAACAACUAGUUUACUUCCAUGUUCAUGUCAAUAUAUGUAUUUAGAGAGAACAACUAGUUUACUUCCAUGUUCAUGUCAAUAUAUGUAUUUAGAGAACAACUAGUUUAAUUCCAUGUUCAUGUCAAUAUAUGUAUUUAGAGAGAACAACUAGUUUACUUCCAUGUUAAUGUCAAUAUAUGUAUUUAGAGAACAACUAGUUUACUUCCAUGUUUAUGUCAAUAUAUGUAUUUAGAGAACAACUAGUUUACUUCCAUGUUCAUGUCAAUAUAUGUAUUUAGAGAGAACAACUAGUUUACUUCCAUGUUCAUGUCAAUAUAUGUAUUUAGAGAGAACAACUAGUUUACUUCCAUGUUCAUGUCAAUAUAUGUAUUUAAAGAACAACUAGUUUACUUCCAUGUUCAUGUCAAUAUAUGUAUUUAGAGAGAACAACUAGUUUACUUCCAUGUUCAUGUCAAUAUAUGUAUUUAGAGAGAACAACUAGUUUACUUCCAUGUUCAUGUCAAUAUAUGUAUUUAGAGAACAACUAGUUUACUUCCAUGUUCAUGUCAAUAUAUGUAUUUAGAGAGAACAACUAGUUUACUUCCAUGUUCAUGUCAAUAUAUGUAUUUAGAGAGAACAACUAGUUUACUUCCAUGUUCAUGUCAAUAUAUGUAUUUAGAGAGAACAACUAGUUUACUUGCAUGUUCAUGUCAAUAUAUGUAUUUAGAGAGAACAACUAGUUUACUUCUAUGUUCAUGUUAAUAUAUGUAUUUAGAGAACAACUAGUUUACUUCCAUGUUUAUGUCAAUAUAUGUAUUUAGAGAACAAUUAGUUUACUUAUAUGUUCAUGUAAUAUCGAAAUAAAAAUAUA